AUCUACACGGGAGCUGGUCACUGGGGCUAACUUUGUGGAUCACCAAAAGAUAUGAAUAUCUAGAUACAUAUACCUGCUUCUCGCCAGCGACUGAAGAGUGGUCAUGCAGCUAUUCUGUGCUUUCAGAUUCUGUGAAGUGCAAGGUGAUGUGCACCUGAGAACACAACUAUGGAAAUGUGUACAGGUCCAAGGAGUCUGACUGCUUCCACUGGGCAUUGUUGCAUACAUUCGAAGAAGGGAAGAUUAAGAAUCUGGCUAGUUGGUUACUCUACCUCUUCUCUAUCAAAGCUUGCAGAAUUCUUAUAUACCUACAGUCUUGGGUGUCAGUUGAGCAAGGGAUUUUAGGACUGCAGUUCACCAAAUUAAGACUCUGUAAGUAGACAUCUACUCAUGGUGGCAGUCACCAGUUUUGCAAUAAACUUUUGAAUCUAUAGUGUCUCA
rnacentral:lncRNA from 1 species